CCUACGGGAGGCUGCAGUGGGGGAUAUUGCACAAUGGGGGGAACCCUGAUGCAGCGACGCCGCGUGGGUGAAGAAGCGCCUCGGCGCGUAAAGCCCUGUCAGCAGGGAAGAAAAUGACGGUACCUGACGAAGAAGCCCCUGCGAACUACGUGCCAGCAGCCGCGGUCAUACGUAGGGGGCAAGCGUUAGCCGGAUUUACUGGGUGUAAAGGGGGCGCAGACGGCGAUGCAAGCCAGGAGUGAAAGCCCCGGGCACAACCCCGGGACUGCUCUUGGAACUGCGUGGCUAGAGUGCAGGAGGGGCAGGCGGAAUUCCUGGGGUAGCGGUGAAAUGCGUAGAUAUCAGGAGGAACACCGGUGGCGAAGGCGACCUGCUGGACUGCAACUGACGUUGAGGCCCGAAAGCGUGGGGAUCGAACAGGAUUAGAUACCCUGGUAGUC
rnacentral:rRNA from 1 species